CCUACGGGAGUCAGCAGUGAGGAAUAUUGGUCAAUGGGCGAGAGCCUGAACCAGCCAAGUCGCGUGAGGGAGUACUGCCCUAUGGGUUGUAAACCUCUUUUGUCGGGGAGCAAAAGCCGGACGUGUCCGGCUGUGAGAGUACCCGAAGAACAAGCAUCGGCUAACUCCGUGCCAGCAGCCGCGGUAAUACGGAGGAUGCGAGCGUUAUCCGGAUUUAUUGGGGUUAAAGGGUGCGCAGGCGGAUUUUUAAGUCAGCGGUCAAAUCGUGGGGCUCAACCCCAUCCAGCCGUUGAAACUGGGGAUCUAGAGUGUGCGAGAGGUAUGCGGAAUGCGUGGUGUAGCGGUGAAAUGCAUAGAUAUCACGCAGAACCCCGAUUGCGAAGGCAGCAUACCGGUGCACAACUGACGCUCAGGCACGAAAGCGUGGGUAUCGAACAGGAUUAGAUACCCCAGUAGUC
rnacentral:rRNA from 1 species